rnacentral:rRNA from 1 species
CCUACGGGUGGCAGCAGUGAGGAAUAUUGGUCAAUGGACGAGAGUCUGAACCAGCCAAGUAGCGUGAAGGAUGACUGCCCUAUGGGUUGUAAACUUCUUUUAUAUGGGAAUAAAACAGGGUAUGCAUACCCUCUUGUAUGUACCAUAUGAAUAAGGAUCGGCUAACUCCGUGCCCGCAGCCGCGGUAAUACGGAGGAUCCGAGCGUUAUCCGGAUUUAUUGGGUUUAAAGGGAGCGUAGGUGGAUUGUUAAGUCAGUUGUGAAAGUUUGCGGCUCAACCGUAAAAUUGCAGUUGAAACUGGCAGGCUUGAGUACAGUAGAGGUGGGCGGAAUUCGUGGUGUAGCGGUGAAAUGCUUAGAUAUCACGAAGAACUCCGAUUGCGAAGGCAGCUCACUGGACUGCAACUGACACUGAUGCUCGAAAGUGUGGGUAUCAAACAGGAUUAGAUGCCCCAGUAGUC